CGUUCUGUAAGCCUGUGAAGGUGUGCUGUGAGGCAUGCUGGAGGUAUCAGAAGUGCGAAUGCUGACAUAAGUAACGAUAAAGCGGGUGAAAAGCCCGCUCGCCGGAAGACCAAGGGUUCCUGUCCAACGUUAAUCGGGGCAGGGUGAGUCGACCCCUAAGGCGAGGCCGAAAGGCGUAGUCGAUGGGAAACAGGUUAAUAUUCCUGUACUUGGUGUUACUGCGAAGGGGGGACGGAGAAGGCUAUGUUGGCCGGGCGACGGUUGUCCCGGUUUAAGCGUGUAGGCUGGUUUUCCAGGCAAAUCCGGAAAAUCAAGGCUGAGGCGUGAUGACGAGGCACUACGGUGCUGAAGCAACAAAUGCCCUGCUUCCAGGAAAAGCCUCUAAGCAUCAGGUAACAUCAAAUCGUACCCCAAACCGACACAGGUGGUCAGGUAGAGAAUACCAAGGCGCUUGAGAGAACUCGGGUGAAGGAACUAGGCAAAAUGGUGCCGUAACUUCGGGAGAAGGCACGC
rnacentral:rRNA from 1 species